UACGGGGGGGGCAAGCGUUGUUCGGAAUUACUGGGCGUAAAGGGCUUGUAGGUGGCCAACUAAGUCAGACGUGAAAUCCCUCGGCUUAACCGGGGAACUGCGUCUGAUACUGGAUGGCUCGAGUGUGGGAGAGGGAUGCGGAAUUCCAGGUGUAGCGGUGAAAUGCGUAGAUAUCUGGAGGAACACCGGUGGCGAAGGCGGCAUCCUGGACCGGUAUUGACGCUGAGGCGCGAAAGCCAGGGGAGCAAACGGG
rnacentral:rRNA from 1 species